GACGAACGCUGGCGGCGUGCUUAACACAUGCAAGUCGAGCGGAAAGGCCACUUCGGUGGUACUCGAGCGGCGAACGGGUGAGUAACACGUGAGUAAUCUGCCCCUCACUUUGGGAUAGCCACCGGAAACGGUGAUUAAUACCGGAUAUGACCAUAUGUCGCAUGGCGUGUGGUGGAAAGUUUUUCGGUGAGGGAUGUGCUUGCGGCCUAUCAGCUUGAUGGUGAGGUAAUGGCUCACCAUGGCUUCGACGGGUAGCCGGCCUGAGAGGGUGACCGGUCACACUGGGACUGAGACACGGCCCAGACUCCUACGGGAGGCAGCAGUGGGGAAUAUUGGACAAAGGGCGGAAGCCUGAUCCAGCAACGCCGCGUGAGGGAUGACGGCCUUCGGGUUGUAAACCUCUUUCAGUACCGACGAAGCGCAAGUGACGGUAGGUACAGAAGAAGCACCGGCCAACUACGUG
rnacentral:rRNA from 1 species